GGAGGGAUGCCCGAGUGGUUAAAGGGGGCGGACUGUAAAUCCGUUGGUUUAUCCUACGUUGGUUCGAAUCCAACUCUCUCCACCA
rnacentral:tRNA from 2 species